GGGCCUCCCCACGUCAAGUUGUCUGCGCAGAGAGUUGUCCUAGACUUGGCUGGAGGAUGGGGCUGAGAGAGCCUCCUGAAGCUCAUCCAAGGAAUGUGCAAAGUCCUGCCCCAGGGAGGAACAGCCUCAGCCGCCAGGACGUGCUGGGGCUCGCUGGCGAGAAAACAACUCCGCAGAGAAGGCCCGGACAGUCCUCACUGACGACAAAUUGAACAUGAUAUAAGAUGAUAUGAGAAUGAAGAGGUUUCAUAUUGACAGAGAAUUAUUUUACAGUGAGAACAUUCACUCACUGGAACAGCCUCCCCAGGCAUGGAGUGGAAUCCCUGUUCCUGAAGGUUUCAAUAUAUGACCGGACAGGGUGUGAGAGAGCCCCGUCUAGGCUCCCUUUCCCACAAGACUCUGAAACAAAUGGUCCUUGGAGGUCUUUUCCAACCUGGGCUCCUCAAUGAUCUAUGAAUGGAGUGGGUUGGCCACUGCUAACAGCCAAGCAGCUAUGCAGCCACUUAAUCACUCCCCUCUUCCCCAGGCUGGAGGGAGAUGGCGAAGUGGGUUGAGAUGAAGAUUAGUAGGUGAAGGAAAAGCUGUGCGCGCCAGCAAUACAAAAUAAAGAACUUACUCAGUGCUUCUUAUGGCAGGCUGAUGUUAAUCCACUUCCUGGGAAGCAGGUCCUCAGGAAAUGCAGCAUUUCUUUGGGAAGUCCCCCCAUCCUCCUCCCUUUCUUGAGCUGGUGCUGGACCAGGCUGGCUGUGACUGCUUACUGGAUGUAUGGGAAGGCAGGAAGGUCUGCAGGUCCACCUGUGCUCCCCGGCCUGGAGAGACCCCAACCAUACAACACAUCCUUCCAGAGCAUGCCAUAGCCCUGCCGCCACAAAUGCCCCUUGUCCCUGGCUCUGGCACCCAGCCCUGGACCUCUGACCAAUGCCUGGGCCAGCACAUCCACUGCACUCCCACUGUUCUCCAGUGUCCCCCAAGGAGAAACAUUAACAGUUGGUCCUGCAGGCAGCAGAUGAGGAGCAAGGAGCCACUGCUGUGGCUACCAAAGACGAAGUGGUCUGAGCAGGGCAGUGCUUGGCAGAGCUCUCCUGGGCUGGCCUUGGCUCAUCAGACUCCUCCUUUGCUCACGCUGGACCCGUUACUGAAUGAUAUUGACAGUGAGAUUGAGUGCACCCUCAGCAAGUUUGGGGAUGACACCAAGCUGAGUGGUGACUGGAAAGACAGGAGGUCAUCCAGAGGGAUCUGGACAAGCUGGAGAAGCGGGGCUGUGAGAAUCUCAUGAGGUUCAACAAGGCCAAGUGCAAGGUCCUGCACCUGGGUCAAGGCAAUCCUUAUUUUUGGUACAGGAUGGGAGAUGAUGUGAUUGAGAGCAGCCCUGCAGAGAAGGACUUGGUGGUGCUGGUCAAUGAGAAUCUCAGCAUGAGCCUGCAAUGUGCGCUCGCAGACCAGAAGGCCAACCGUGUCCUGGGCUGCAUCCAAAGCAGCGUGGCCAGCAGAGCAAGGGAAGGGAUUGUGCCCCUCUAUUCCUCUCUUGCGAGACCUCAUCUGGAAUACUGUGUUCAUUUCUGGAAUCCACAACGUAAAAAGGAUAUGGAGCUGUUGGAACGGGUCCAGAAGAGGGCUACAAAGAUGAUCGGAGGGCUGGAGCACCUUCCAUAUGUGGACAGGCUGAGAGAGUUAGGCUUGCUCAGUCUGGAGAAGAAAAGGCUCCAAGGAAAUCUUACAGUAACCUUCCAGUACCUGAAGGGGCUACAGGAAAGCAGGAGAGGGGCUAUUCAUAAAGGCUUGUGGUGAUAGAACGAGGGGGAAUGGGUACAAACUGGAGAGGGACAGAUUUAGACUGGACAUUAGGAAGAAUUUCUUCACUAUGAGGGUGGUGAGGCCCUGUCCCAGGUUGCCCAGGGAAGCUGUGGCUGCCCCAUCCCCGGACGUGUUCCAGGCCAGGUUGGAUGGGCCUUGGGCAGCCUGAGCCAGUGGGAGGUGUCCCUGCCCAUGGCAGGGAUUUGGAAUUAGAUGAUCUUUAAGGUCCCUUCCAACCCAAACUAUUCUAUGAUUCUAUGAUUCUAUGAGUGGGUUGUGAGGGAUUGCACUUCUCCCUGUGACGCAGCAGCCUCUGCCCACCUGGGUAUGCAGACUCAGCCAGUGAAAAUAUGCACAGACAGGCACAGGGACCCACUGACACAGCUCAGACAGAGACAAACACAGGCAGACACACACACACACACGCAGAUCGAUGCAGACUCACACAGACACAUAUGCACAGAGGACGCCCCCCCUGAUGCUCACGCUGACACACACGCUGACGUGCACACAGAUGCACAAACACAGACAUGCACACUCACGCAGACACACGCAUUCAGACACACAGACUGACACGUGCAUGCACACAUGUACACAGGACUCGGAUGCAGGGCACUGGCAUGGGCAGCCACAGCGCAGGUGCUGCUGUUGCCACACUGACACUGACAGCAUAGAUUUGUGCUCAUCUCUUGUACACUCUUUGUAUGUGCUUUUUCUCAGCCUCAAGCUCCUUUUAGAGGAAAACCAUACAUUCCUUCCAUUUAGUCGGAGCCAUUGGUGGCAGGACCAGAGUGUGGGUUCUUGCUUAUGACUGGCAAGUAUGGACCAUGACCUCAGGGAGCAGCUGGGUGCUCCGUGUGUUACUGACCGCUGUUGCUGGGGUCUUACGGUUGCUCGCUUAGCCUCUCUCCUUGCUUGCUUUAUAUGCAACACUCUUUUGUAAAUGUUCUAUAACCAACUUAUUUCUAGACUUCUGCACAUACAUCUGGAAGCACAACUGUCCAGGCAUUGUUCUUAUAGGGUGAGAAGAACAUUCUUUCAUUAUUGAUAUUUGCAAUCAUCUUGGCAGUAGUCUGUGUCAGGUGACUACCUGCCAUUUCCUGGGUUCCUCGCCACUUCCCAGCCUAGACCUCCACACCAGAAACCUGAUUCAACACCUUCUGAAGCUCUCAGGAAGUUUGGGACCACAUCCCGUCAAACUGUCUCUGCUCUGUCUCUCAAAGGCUAGACCUUAGUUUAGGAGCUGCAGAUAUGAAUAAAAGGAAAUUUCAUGUGAAAAUACUGAAGGGGCCCAUCCAAAUCAUCUAUCAACUAGCAGGAAAUUAAAAAAACCCAAAAACCUAUUUUCACUCGAUUCCUCUAUGUCGCUUCCCACAGAAAAUCAUUCAUUUAGGGAUCCUCUCACUCAGUGUUUUUUCCCUGUGUUUAAGGAAUGGACAAAUUUUGGGUGUUCUGGUAAAGGCAAUGCUCAGGCUUUGAGGUUUCCCUUCUGCAAGAUCAGAGUUGCACCCUGCAUGGGCAUAAAUGGAGGGAGAAGGAAGGAUGUACACAAGAUGUGAGCAAAUAUGACGUUUUCUUCAAAAUACACCAAAUAUUUCCAAAGAGAGGACUUUUAUAUGACUAUGAUGCAGGGGACAACAAAUAUCUGUGUAAAUGAAGAUCCAGACAGACACCGCAAACCAGAUAUCCAAACACAACCAAAGCCCAUGAGGAUGAAGAAGACCAUGAGGACGAAGCAGCCCAGAAGUCUCCAGAGAGCUUUCUACACCCAGGACAACCCCUGCACUGCUGCUACAUCUGCUACAGCCUCCCAGUCUCAAAAUGAUUAGAAGGAGAGGAUUUUCAUGAUGGAUAUCCCAGGAAGACUUUAGCUUGCUGGAGUUAUGAUCAGCUUUAGGCUAGUAGUCUCCAGAGAUGUUUGCCUUAUCCACCUUCACCCUCUGCAUGUCCUG